UACAGAGGUCUCAAGCGUUGUUCGGAUUCAUUGGGCGUAAAGGGUGCGUAGGUGGCGGGGUAAGUCUGGUGUGAGAUCUCGGGGCUCAACCCCGAAACUGCACUGGAUACUGCCUUGCUUGAGUACUGGAGAGGAGAUUGGAAUUUACGGUGUAGCAGUGAAAUGCGUAGAUAUCGUAAGGAAGACCAGUGGCGAAGGCGGCUCACUGGACGCGUAUUGACGCUGAGGUACGAAAGCGUGGGGAGCAAACAGG
rnacentral:rRNA from 1 species